AUUGAACGCUGGCGGCAGGCCUAACACAUGCAAGUCGAACGGAGUGGCGGACGGGUGAGUAAUAUAUCGGAACGUACCGAGUAAUGGGGGAUAACCAAUCGAAAGAUUGGCUAAUACCGCAUACUAUCAGAUGAGCCUAGGUCGGAUUAGCUAGUUGGUGGGGUAAAGGCCUACCAAGGCGACGAUCCGUAACUGGUCUGAGAGGAUGAUCAGUCACACUGGAACUGAGACACGGUCCAGACUCCUACGGGAGGCAGCAGUGGGGAAUAUUGGACAAUGGGCGAAAGCCUGAUCCAGCCAUGCCGCGUGUGUGAAGAAGGUCUUCGGAUUGUAAAGCACUUUAGGUUGGGAGGCGUUACCAACAGAAUAAGCACCGGCUAACUUCGUGCCAGCCGCCGCGGUAAUAC
rnacentral:rRNA from 1 species